rnacentral:ribozyme from 1 species
CUGGAAUCUUGCUCUGCAACGGGGUAGACCGAAACCUUGAAUCUUGAAGGUCACACAGGCUCUCUUACUCAACUCCUAUUCCGUAACGUCUUCGUCGUGCAGAGUACCACCGUAUAUCCAAGCUUGGGUAAACGGACUAGAACCAACCCGUUGGGCGGUUGGCGGUACACGGUAAAACGGGAAGG